CCGCUCCCGGCCCUGAGUUUCUUAAUAUAAUGUCUCCAGUGUUUGAACAACAGUUCUGUUUAAGAUAUCAUAAACUCAAAGAGUAAGCUGUGUGUGAGUAUCCACUAUAAAAUAUGAGUAGCAUUAGCUUACUACUGUAGAAAGUUUGCAUGUUGGCUGUUGCUGCUUGCUAAAGGUAUCCACAUUCGUAAGCAAGUAUUUAUAAUCAGGAAUACAACAUUCUUCGGGCACAGCAGUCAGGCACAAGCAGGUAGCAGAAAUUCGUUGCUGGCCUGGGCGCUCUGCUCUUUGGCACUGUCUUCAGAGGGUGGCCCCGCGGAGUAAUGCUCACAGCCAGUCUGGCUUUUCCCUCUGAGUUUGACAUGCGGCUAGCCUGUGCCCUGAGGUGACAUUCUGAUUUUUGAAGGUGACAGUCAUGGCGUCUAUGCGAAGGCCCAAGCGCAUCAUCAUCCGUGGCCACGACGAGAGGGAACACCCUUUCCUGGUGAAGGGUGGUGAGGACCUGCGGCAGGACCAGCGCGUAGAGCAGCUCUUCCAGGUCAUGAAUGGGAUCCUGGCCCAAGACUCCGCCUGCAGCCAGAGGGCCCUGCAGCUGAGGACCUAUAGCGUGGUGCCCAUGACCUCCAGGUUAGGAUUAAUUGAGUGGCUUGAAAAUACUGUUACCUUGAAGGACCUUCUUUUGAACACCAUGUCCCAAGAGGAGAAGGCGGCUUACCUGAGUGAUCCCAAGGCACCGCCAUGUGAAUAUAAAGAUUGGCUGACAAAAAUGUCAGGAAAACAUGAUGUCGGAGCUUACAUGCUAAUGUAUAAGGGCGCUAAUCGUACCGAAACAGUCACGUCUUUUAGAAAACGAGAAAGUAAAGUGCCUGCUGAUCUCUUAAAGUAAGUACCCUUCUGCCCUCACCCUUAGUGGGAUCACAGCAGCCGCACAGCUGUGUCUCUCUUGUAGGCGGGCCUUCGUGAGGAUGAGUACAAGCCCUGAGGCUUUCCUGGCGCUCCGCUCCCACUUCGCCAGCUCUCACGCUCUGAUAUGCAUCAGCCACUGGAUCCUCGGGAUUGGAGACAGACAUCUGAACAACUUUAUGGUGGCCAUGGAGACCGGCAGCAUGAUCGGGAUCGACUUUGGGCAUGCGUUUGGAUCCGCUACACAG
rnacentral:sRNA from 1 species